rnacentral:rRNA from 1 species
CCUACGGGAGGCAGCAGUGGGGGAUAUUGCACAAUGGGGGAAACCCUGAUGCAGCGACGCCGCGUGAGUGAAGAAGUAUUUCGGUUUGUAAAGCUCUAUCAGCAGGGAAGAAAAUGACAGUAUCUGACUUAGAAGCGCCGGCGAACUACGUGCCAGAAGCGGCGGUAAUACGUAGGGGUCAAGCGUUAUCCGGAUUUAUUGUGUGUAAAGGGGGCGUAGCCGGUUAUGUAAGUCUGGAGUGAAAGCCCGGGGCCCAACCCCGGAACUGCUUUGGAAACUGUGUAACUGGAGUACAGGAGGGGCAGGCGGAAUUCCUGGUGUAGCGGUGAAAUGCGUAGAUAUCAGGAGGAACACCAGCGGCGAAGGCGGCCUGCUGGACUGAAACUGACGUUGAGGCGCGAAAGCGUGGGGAGCAAACAGGAUUAGAUACCCUAGUAGUC